CGGACGGGUGAGUAAUGUCUGGGAAACUGCCCGAUGGAGGGGGAUAACUACUGGAAACGGUAGCUAAUACCGCAUAACGUCGCAAGACCAAAGGAGGGGGACCUUCGGGCCUCUUGCCAUCGGAUGUGCCCAGAUGGGAUUAGCUAGUAGGUGGGUAACGGCUCACCUAGGCGACGAUCCCUAGCUGGUCUGAGAGGAUGACCAGCCACACUGGAACUGAGACACGGUCCAG
rnacentral:rRNA from 1 species